rnacentral:rRNA from 1 species
GAUGAACGCUGGCGGCGUGCCUAAUACAUGCAAGUCGAGCGAACAGACGAGGAGCUUGCUCCUCUGACGUUAGCGGCGGACGGGUGAGUAACACGUGGAUAACCUACCUAUAAGACUGGGAUAACUUCGGGAAACCGGAGCUAAUACCGGGUAAUAUAUUGAACCGCAUGGUUCAAUAGUGAAAGGCGGUUUUGCUGUCACUUAUAGAUGGAUCCGCGCCGCAUUAGCUAGUUGGUAAGGUAACGGCUUACCAAGGCAACGAUGCGUAGCCGACCUGAGAGGGUGAUCGGCCACACUGGAACUGAGACACGGUCCAGACUCCUACGGGAGGCAGCAGUAGGGAAUCUUCCGCAAUGGGCGAAAGCUUGACGGAGCAACGCCGCGUGAGUGAUGAAGGUCUUCGGAUCGUAAAACUCUGUUAUUAGGGAAGAACAAAUGUGUAAGUAACUAUGCACGUCUUGACGGUACCUAAUCAGAAAGCCACGGCUAACUACGUG